GACGAAGGUGGCAAGCGUUGUUCGGAAUUACUGGGCAUAAAGCGCGCGUAGGCGGCUGUGUAAGUCAGGUGUGAAAGCCCUCGGCUCAACCGAGGAACUGCGCCUGAUACUGCACGGCUUGAGGUCCGGAGGGGAGAGUGGAAUUCCCGGUGGAGCGGUGAAAUGCGUAGAGAUCGGGAAGAACGCCGGCGGCGAAAGCGACUCUCUGGUCGGAAUCUGACGCUGAGGCGCGAAAGCUAGGGGAGCAAACGGG
rnacentral:rRNA from 1 species